rnacentral:tRNA from 1 species
CGGGGUGUAGCGCAGGCUGGUAGCGCAUCUGCUUUGGGAGCAGAGGGUCGGCGGUUCGAAUCCGUCCACCCCGACCA